rnacentral:rRNA from 1 species
UACGUAGGGUGCAAGCGUUGUCCGGAAUUAUUGGGCGCAAAGAGCUCGUAGGCGGUUUGUCGCGUCUGCUGUGAAAACCCGAGGCUCAACCUCGGGCCUGCAGUGGGUACGGGCAGACUAGAGUGCGGUAGGGGGAGAUUGGAAUUCCUGGUGUAGCGGUGGAAUGCGCAGAUAUCAGGAGGAACACCAAUGGCGAAGGCAGAUCUCUGGGCCGUAACUGACGCUGAGGAGCGAAAGCAUGGGGGAGCGAACAGG